GAGCUUCACAAAAUUAUAUCAAUCCAAUCUAUUUAAUGUUCAAAAAUGAUUUUCUGAAGUAGUAAUAGCUAUGCAUUAUCUUUUAUAAUUUGAAUUGCUUUGUUUCCCAUGCUCCGAUCCAUCAAUCAACAGCUGCUUGCACUAGCUUUGGUACUGGAGCAAGCACCAAAUUCUAGGACUUCGUCUCAAAUAUUUUGGCGCGGAAAUGCAUUUCUAAGUGUAGAAGUUUGGGAAUUUAGUGGAUCUGACUCCAAAAUGGAAGUUCUAUUGCUAGAAGUCCGAAACUUGUCAACAUGUGUAGUGUUGUCAUGCCUCGCAUUUGCCUCGAGUUGAGCACAUUGAAGUGCCAGAUCCACUAUUUUCAGGGCUUUCCAUUGUACUUCUGCAUCCCAG